UAACGACGUGGUUAGUUAGUUAAGACGACGCAAUAAAUAAACCAACGACGUAUUAUUUUAGAAUGACAAACCUCAUAUAUACAAAAAAACACACGACGGUUAUGUAUAACAAAACGACGUAUUAUAAAAUUUCACACGACGUACUGAAAUAGACAACGACGUUAUAGUAUAUUUAUCACGACGGUACAUACUAACGACGUGGUUAGUUGGUUAAGACGACGCAAUAAAUAAACCAACGACGUAUUAUUUUAGAAUGACAAACCUCAUAUAUACAGC
rnacentral:lncRNA from 1 species